GGGAUUUCGCUCAUCCAAAGUAUUGUGAAGGUUAGCUACUUCAUCCUCCCUUCAUUUAUUGUUAUUAUGCUUUAUUUUAUGCUUUAGAAAAGGGGAAAAUGAGUUUACUAGAACGAGGGAGAAUGGAGAGGAUUUUUAUUUAUACAUAUUUUUGAGCUAGAAUUUGAUAGAUAGCUUGCUUGUUAUAUAUGAUUCGUAUUAGGUAAAAGAACUUGAUCAAUGUUAGGUAUGAGAAAAAAUAGAGUAAAUGUGUUUUUAAUAUUUAGUCAUUGCAAUAAAAUUAAGGUAAAUAAAUUGUAGCGUAAGAAAAUAGAAUUUGGUUAUUGCUACAAUUUUUAAUGUCACUGUAAUUUAACAAUAAUUAUAUUUCUUUGACCAAUAAUUUAUUUAUCUCAUGUUUAAUGCAAGAACUAAAUAUUAUAAACAAUAAUCCUAUACGAAGCCCUAUGUUCAUUUUCCACGUAAUAUGAUGCAGAUGGACCGGCAAUGGAUGUAUCACCUCCGUUCCUCUCCUAGUUAAUAGUGUCUGCACAUGGCAUAAAUGUGCUUACGCUAUUCUCUACACAUAACUCAAUCUUCUCCGAAGUCUAUGGAGAGUCACCUCCGCUCCUCCAGUACCAGAAAAUAAUGGUAGAAUAGAAGAGCUUCGAAUCCACAAACUCGGGUUGAAUAUCAUAAAAGAAUCUUGAAAUAGUAUUCCAAACGCCUUUUGGAGUCUAAUUCUUAUAAUAGAAAUAAGCUGGCCCAAUAUCCUCUUCAGGUAAAAAUCUAUUCACUAACCUUGACCUAGCAACUUUUGGUUGGUUUUGGCUUGCCACCAUGGGCCAUGCUCAGUGGAUAUAUCUUUUGUGUGGACGGGCUAUUGUGUGUUUGCCACCACACUUUUAUUAUGAGAAUUUCAUACUUACUCCAAAAGAUGUUUGGACAGUUAUUUCAAGAUUCGUUUAUGGGAUUCGAAGAUUUUCUAUUGUGUCAUUAUUUUCUGGUACUGGAUAUGUGGAGGUGACUCUUGAUAGACUUCGGAGAAGACAUUCUGCUAUGUUGUACCAUUAUUUUAGGAUAAUUGACUCGUGAAGUCCAUUAUGGAGCGUCUGUAAUCUUUAGUGCAUAUGUAUCUUUAUUGUCUUGUUAUGAGUGUAAUCUUUAUAUGUAUCUUUAGUGAUUGUUAUGAAUGUUGAAUGGUGUAAUUUUCAAGUGAAUUGUUUCAAUUCAUUAUGAAGGUUGAUUGGUGUAAAUUAUGAUUAUUGAUCAAGUUCUUUAUCUAAUAUGAAGACCUAUGUCCAUUUCUCACGUAAUAAUUUAUUUAUCUAAUAUCUUGUGCAAGGCCCAAAUAUUAUAAUCACAUUAACUUUAUAUGUCCAUUUCUCACGUAAUACGAUGCAGAGGGACCGACAGUGGAUGUACAACGCGGAUAGACAGACC
rnacentral:lncRNA from 1 species